CUUCUGCUAACUCGUUAAACUGGCGGAGCACACACAAGUGCCGAAAAUGACUUUGCACUCGCAGCCUAAAUAGAGCUGCGACGGCUCCUUAAAUCCUGCCCGUGGAUUUAAAUGAGGCGACAACUAUACGGGCUGGUCUGAAGGUGGUGCCUGAGGCGCCUGACGACGAGACUUCACUUUGGGCUGGCGGCGAAAACCCUGUCUAUUGGUAACUUCGUUGCGAGAUUCAACAAUAGAAUAAGCAUGUAGAGGCCUUGUGAGUCUCUUUCUCGGACCCGGGUUCGAUUCCCGGCGCCUCCACCA
rnacentral:tmRNA from 1 species